rnacentral:rRNA from 1 species
GACGAACGCUGGCGGCGUGCCUAAUACAUGCAAGUCGAACGAGAGCGACCGGUGCUUGCACUGGUCAAUCUAGUGGCGAACGGGUGAGUAACACGUGGGUAGCCUGCCCAUCAGAGGGGGAUAACAUCCGGAAACGGAUGCUAAAACCGCAUAGGUCUUCGAACCGCAUGGUUUGAAGAGGAAAAGAGGCGCAAGCUUCUGCUGAUGGAUGGACCCGCGGUGCAUUAGCUAGUUGGUGAGGUAACGGCUCACCAAGGCCGUGAUGCAUAGCCGACCUGAGAGGGUGAUCGGCCACAUUGGGACUGAGACACGGCCCAAACUCCUACGGGAGGCAGCAGUAGGGAAUCUUCCGCAAUGGACGCAAGUCUGACGGAGCAACGCCGCGUGAGUGAAGAAGGUUUUCGGAUCGUAAAACUCUGUUGUUAGAGAAGAACAAGUGCUAGAGUAACUGUUAGCGCCUUGACGGUAUCUAACCAGAAAGCCACGGCUAACUACGUG